GACGAACGCUGGCGGCGUGCUUAACACAUGCAAGUCGAACGGCAAGGCCCUGCUUUUGUGGGGUGCUCGAGUGGCGAACGGGUGAGUAACACGUGAGUAACCUGCCCUUGACUUUGGGAUAACUUCAGGAAACUGGGGCUAAUACCGGAUAGGAGCUCCUGCUGCAUGGUGGGGGUUGGAAAGUUUCGGCGGUUGGGGAUGGACUCGCGGCUUAUCAGCUUGUUGGUGGGGUAGUGGCUUACCAAGGCUUUGACGGGUAGCCGGCCUGAGAGGGUGACCGGCCACAAGGGGACUGAGAUACGGCCCAGACUCGUACGGGAGGCAGCAGUGGGGAAUAUUGCACAAUGGGCGGAAGCCGGAGGCAGCAGCGCCGCGGGCGUGAUGACGGCCUUCGGGGUGUAAACCGCUUUCGCCUGUGACGAAGCGUGAGUGACGGUAAUGGGUAAAGAAGCACCGGCUAACUACGUG
rnacentral:rRNA from 1 species